CAUCCAGACUCCUACGGGAGGCAGCAGUGGGGAAUAUUGCACAAUGGGGGAAACCCUGAUGCAGCGACGCCGCGUGAAGGAAGAAGUCUCUCGGUAUGUAAACUUCUAUCAGCAGGGAAGAAAACAGACGGUACCUGACUAAGAAGCCCCGGCUAACUACGUGCCAGCAGCCGCGGUAAUACGUAGGGGGCAAGCGUUAUCCGGAUUUACUGGGUGUAAAGGGGGCGCAGACGGCCAUGGCAAGCCCGGUGUGAAAGGCAGGGGCAUAACCCCUGGACUGCACUGGGAACUGUCAGGCUGGAGUGCCGGAGAGGCAGGCGGAAUUCCUAGUGUAGCGGUGAAACGCGUAGAUAUUAGGAGGAACACCAGUGGCGAAGGCGGCCUGCUGGACGAUGACUGACGUUGAGGCUCGAAAGCGUGGGGAGCACACAGGAUUAGAUACCCGGGUAC
rnacentral:rRNA from 1 species